CGGCAGCAUUCAUAUGGUUGUUUCAAAGAAUCAACCAUGCAUGUCUCAGUAUAAGUGUUUCAGUGAGAAACUGCGAUUGGCUCCUUAAAACAGUUAUAGUUUUCAUGUCAGUUGUUUAUUACCCUGAUAUUCACGGUAAUUCUAGAGAUAAGACAUGCGUUCCGGACCUACUUUUGGGGAAGGGUUGUGCUUAUUAAACACUGAACCAUCCCUGCUUGUCCCGUUUUGAGGUGAUUGAUGGUAAUUGAACGAAUUGCAUUUUUUGGGGGGGAUGAUUCAUUCAAGUUUUUGACCUAUCAUCUUCCGAGGUGUGGGGGGAUUGCCCUACCGUGGUUUUUACGGGUAACGGAGAAUUAGGGUUUGUUUCCGGAGAGGGAGCCUGGGAAACGGCUACCCCUUCUAAGGAAGGCAGCGGGGGGGCAAAUUACCCAAUCCUGACCCAGGGAGGUAGUGCCAAGAAAUACCAAUAUGGGGCUUUUUUGUUUUGUAAUUGGAAUGAGGACAAUUUAAAAACCUUUUCGAGGAUCCAUU
rnacentral:rRNA from 1 species